GACGAACGCUGGCGGCGUGCCUAAUACAUGCAAGUAGAACGCUGAAACUUGGUGCUUGCUCUGAGCGGAUGAGUCGCGAACGGGUGAGUAACGCGUAGGUAACCUGCCUGGUAGCGGGGGAUAACUAUUGGAAACGAUAGCUUAUACCGCAUAAGAGUAGAUGUUGCAUGACAUUUGCUUAAAAGGUGCACUUGCACCACUACCAGAUGGAUCUGCGUUGUAUUAGCUAGCUGGUGGGGUAACGGCUCACCAAGGCGACGAUACAUAGCCGGCCUGAGAGGGUGGACGGCCACACGGGGACGGAGACCCGGCCCAGACGCCUACGGGAGGCAGCAGUAGGGAAUCGUCGGCAAUGGACGGAAGGCGGAACGAGCAACGCCGCGUGAGGGAAGAAGGAUGUCGGAUCGUAAAGCUCUGUUGUAUGAGAAGAACGAGGGUGAGAGUGGAAAGUACACACUGUGACGGUAGCUGAACAGAAAGGGACGGCUAACUACGUG
rnacentral:rRNA from 1 species